CCUACGGGAGGCAGCAGUGGGGAAUAUUGCACAAUGGGGGAAACCCUGAUGCAGCGACGCCGCGUGAGUGAAGAAGUAUUUCGGUAUGUAAAGCUCUAUCAGCAGGGAAGAAAAUGACAGUACCUGAAAAAUAAGCCCCGGCUAACUACGUCCCAGCAGCCGCGGUAAUACGUAGGGGGCAAGCGUUAUCCGGAUUUACUGGGUGUAACGGGAGCGUAGACGGCAGUGCAAGUCUGGAGUGAAAGCCGGGGGCUCAACCCCGGGACUGCUCUGGAAACUGGACAGCUGGAGUGCAGGAGAGGGAAGUGGAAUUCCAAGUGUAGCGGUGAAAUGCGUAGAGAUGAGGAGGAACACCAGUGGCGAAGGCGGCCCCCUGGACUGAAACUGACGUUGAGGUGCGAAAGCGUGGGGAGCAAACAGGAUUAGAUACCCGGGUAGUC
rnacentral:rRNA from 1 species